rnacentral:rRNA from 1 species
AUUGAACGCUGGCGGAAUGCUUUACACAUGCAAGUCGAACGGCAGCACGGACUUCGGUCUGGUGGCGAGUGGCGAACGGGUGAGUAAUGUAUCGGAACGUGCCCAGUCGUGGGGGAUAACGUAGUGAAAAUUACGCUAAUACCGCAUACGGUCUAUGGAUGAAAGCGGGGGAUCGCAAGACCUCGCGCGAUUGGAGCGGCCGAUAUCAGAUUAGGUAGUUGGUGGGGUAAACGCCCACCAAGUCAACGAUCUGUAGCUGGUCUGAGAGGACGACCAGCCACACGGGAACGGAGACACGGUCCAGACUCCUACGGGAGGCAGGAGUGGGGGAUUUUGGACAAUGGGCGAAAGCCUGAUCCAGCCAUUCCGCGUGCAGGAUGAAGGCGCUCGGGUUGUAAACUGCUUUUGUACAGAACGAAAAGGUUUCUACUAAUACUAGGAGCUCAUGACGGUACUGUAAGAAUAAGCACCGGCUAACUACGUGCCAGCCGCCGCCGUAA